rnacentral:rRNA from 1 species
GGUUAAGCGACUAAGCGUACACGGUGGAUGCCCUGGCAGUCAGAGGCGAUGAAGGACGUGCUAAUCUGCGAAAAGCGUCGGUAAGGUGAUAUGAACCGUUACAGCCGGCGAUGUCCGAAUGGGGAAACCCAGUGCAAUUCGUUGCACUAUCGUUUGAUGAAUACAUAGUCAAACGAGGCGAACCGGGGGAACUGAAACAUCUAAGUACCCCGAGGAAAAGAAAUCAACCGAGAUUCCCCCAGUAGCGGCGAGCGAACGGGGAGCAGCCCGGAGUCUGAAUCAGCUUGUGUGUUAGUGGAAGCGUCUGGAAAGUCGCAGGGUACAGGGUGAUACUCCCGUACACUAAAACACACAGGCUGUGAACUCGAAGAGUAGGGCGGGACACGUGGUAUCCUGUCUGAAUAUGGGGGGACCAUCCUCCAAGGCUAAAUACUCCUGACUGACCGAUAGUGAACCAGUACCGUGAGGGAAAGGCGAAAAGAACCCCGGCGAGGGGAGUGAAAAAGAACCUGAAACCGUGUACGUACAAGCAGUAGGAGCCCACUUGUUGGGUGACUGCGUACCUUUUGUAUAAUGGGUCAGCGACUUAUAUUCUGUAGCAAGGUUAACCGUAUAGGGGAGCCGCAGGGAAACCGAGUCUUAACUGGGCGUUAAGUUGCAGGGUAUAGACCCGAAACCCGGUGAUCUAGCCAUGGGCAGGUUGAAGGUUGGGUAACACUAACUGGAGGACCGAACCGACUAAUGUUGAAAAAUUAGCGGAUGACUUGUGGCUGGGGGUGAAAGGCCAAUCAAACCGGGAGAUAGCUGGUUCUCCCCGAAAGCUAUUUAGGUAGCGCCUCGUGAACUCAUCUUCGGGGGUAGAGCACUGUUUCGGCUAGGGGGUCAUCCCGACUUACCAACCCGAUGCAAACUACGAAUACCGAAGAAUGUUAUCACGGGAGACACACGGCGGGUGCUAACGUCCGUCGUGAAGAGGGAAACAACCCAGACCGCCAGCUAAGGUCCCAAAGUCAUGGUUAAGUGGGAAACGAUGUGGGAAGGCCCAGACAGCCAGGAUGUUGGCUUAGAAGCAGCCAUCAUUUAAAGAAAGCGUAAUAGCUCACUGGUCGAGUCGGCCUGCGCGGAAGAUGUAACGGGGCUAAACCAUGCACCGAAGCUGCGGCAGCGACACUAUGUGUUGUUGGGUAGGGGAGCGUUCUGUAAGCCGUUGAAGGUGGCCUGUGAGGGUUGCUGGAGGUAUCAGAAGUGCGAAUGCUGACAUAAGUAACGAUAAUGCGGGUGAAAAACCCGCACGCCGGAAGACCAAGGGUUCCUGUCCAACGUUAAUCGGGGCAGGGUGAGUCGACCCCUAAGGCGAGGCCGAAAGGCGUAGUCGAUGGGAAACAGGUUAAUAUUCCUGUACUUGGUGUUACUGCGAAGGGGGGACGGAGAAGGCUAUGUUGGCCGGGCGACGGUUGUCCCGGUUUAAGCGUGUAGGUGUGUGUUCCAGGUAAAUCCGGUUCACUUUAACACUGAGGCGUGAUGACGAGGCACUACGGUGCUGAAGUGACAAAUGCCCUGCUUCCAGGAAAAGCCUCUAAGCAUCAGGUAACAUCAAAUCGUACCCCAAACCGACACAGGUGGUCAGGUAGAGAAUACCAAGGCGCUUGAGAGAACUCGGGUGAAGGAACUAGGCAAAAUGGUGCCGUAACUUCGGGAGAAGGCACGCUGAUAUGUAGGUGAAGUGAUUUACUCAUGGAGCUGAAAUCAGUCGAAGAUACCAGCUGGCUGCAACUGUUUAUUAAAAACACAGCACUGUGCAAACACGAAAGUGGACGUAUACGGUGUGACGCCUGCCCGGUGCCGGAAGGUUAAUUGAUGGGGUUAUCCGUAAGGAGAAGCUCUUGAUCGAAGCCCCGGUAAACGGCGGCCGUAACUAUAACGGUCCUAAGGUAGCGAAAUUCCUUGUCGGGUAAGUUCCGACCUGCACGAAUGGCGUAAUGAUGGCCAGGCUGUCUCCACCCGAGACUCAGUGAAAUUGAACUCGCUGUGAAGAUGCAGUGUACCCGCGCAAGACGGAAAGACCCCGUGAACCUUUACUAUAGCUUGACACUGAACACUGGUCCUUGAUGUGUAGGAUAGGUGGGAGGCUUUGAAGCGUGGACGCCAGUCUGCGUGGAGCCAUCCUUGAAAUACCACCCUUUAAUGGCUGGUGUUCUAACGUGGGCCCGUAAUCCGGGUUGCGGACAGUGUCUGGUGGGUAGUUUGACUGGGGCGGUCUCCUCCUAAAGAGUAACGGAGGAGCACGAAGGUCAGCUAAUCCUGGUCGGACAUCAGGAGGUUAGUGCAAUGGCAUAAGCUGGCUUGACUGCGAGCGUGACGGCGCGAGCAGGUGCGAAAGCAGGUCAUAGUGAUCCGGUGGUUCUGAAUGGAAGGGCCAUCGCUCAACGGAUAAAAGGUACUCCGGGGAUAACAGGCUGAUACCGCCCAAGAGUUCAUAUCGACGGCGGUGUUUGGCACCUCGAUGUCGGCUCAUCACAUCCUGGGGCUGAAGUAGGUCCCAAGGGUAUGGCUGUUCGCCAUUUAAAGUGGUACGCGAGCUGGGUUUAGAACGUCGUGAGACAGUUCGGUCCCUAUCUGCCGUGGGCGCUGGAGAAUUGAGGGGGGCUGCUCCUAGUACGAGAGGACCGGAGUGGACGCAUCACUGGUGUUCGGGUUGUCAUGCCAAUGGCAUUGCCCGGUAGCUAAAUGCGGAAGAGAUAAGUGCUGAAAGCAUCUAAGUACGAAACUUGCCCCGAGAUGAGUUCUCCCUGACUCCUUGAGAGUCCUGAAGGAACGUUGAAGACGACGACGUUGAUAGGCCGGGUGUGUAAGCGCAGCGAUGCGUUGAGCUAACCGGUACUAAUGAACCGUGAGGCUUAACCUU